rnacentral:rRNA from 1 species
CCUACGGGAGGCAGCAGUGGGGAAUAUUGGACAAUGGGGGAAACCCUGAUCCAGCAAUGCCGCGUGAAUGAUGAAGGCCUUAGGGUUGUAAAGUUCUUUUACCUGUGAAGAUGAUGACGGUAACAGGAGAAAAAGCACCGGCUAACUUCGUGCCAGCAGCCGCGGUAAUACGAAGGGUGCUAGCGUUGUUCGGAAUGACUGGGCGUAAAGGGCGCGUAGGCGGUCUUUUAAGUUAGGCGUGAAAGCCCCGGGCUUAACCCGGGACGUGCGCUUAAGACUGAAAGGCUUGAGUUUGGAAGAGGUAAGUGGAAUUCCUAGUGUAGAGGUGAAAUUCGUAGAUAUUAGGAAGAACACCAGUGGCGAAGGCGGCUUACUGGUCCAAUACUGACGCUGAGGCGCGAAAGUGUGGGGAGCAAACAGGAUUAGAUACCCUUGUAGUC